CCCUUAGAUGUCCGGGGCCGCACGCGCGCUACACUGAAGGAAUCAGCGUGGCUUUCUCCCUGACCCGAAAGGGUUGGGAAACCCGUUGAAUCUCCUUCGUGAUAGGGAUUGGGGCUUGAAAUUGUUCCCCAUGAACGAGGAAUUCCCAGUAAGCGCGAGUCAUAAGCUCGCGUUGAUUACGUCCCUGCCCUUUGUACACACCGCCCGUCGCUACUACCGAUUGAACGGUUUAGUGAGGGCUGCGGAUUGGUCUCGGCCCGCUCUUUACCGGGCGGCGCCGUUGGUCGAGAAGACGCUCGAACUUGAUCGUUUAGAGGAAGUAAAAGUCGUAACA
rnacentral:rRNA from 1 species